rnacentral:miRNA from 1 species
GACAGAGCAUGCCGUUGGUA